rnacentral:rRNA from 1 species
CCUACGGGGGGCAGCAGUGGGGAAUAUUGGACAAUGGGGGGAACCCUGAUCCAGCCAUGCCGCGUGUGUGAAGAAGGCCCUCGGGUUGUAAAGCACUUUCAGUGAGGAAGAACGCCUGGUGGUUAAUACCCAUCAGGAAAGACAUCACUCACGGAAGAAGCACCGGCUAACUCCGUGCCAGCAGCCGCGGUAAUACGGAGGGUGCGAGCGUUAAUCGGAAUUACUGGGCGUAAAGCGCGCGUAGGUGGCUUGAUAAGCCGGUUGUGAAAGCCCCGGGCUCAACCUGGGAACGGCAUCCGGAACUGUCAAGCUAGAGUGCAGGAGAGGAAGGUAGAAUUCCCGGUGUAGCGGUGAAAUGCGUAGAGAUCGGGAGGAAUACCAGUGGCGAAGGCGGUCUUCUGGACUGACACUGACACUGAGGUGCGAAAGCGUGGGUAGCAAACAGGAUUAGAUACCCCUGUAGUC